ensembl:lncRNA
ACCAACAGUCAGCCUGGCAGUGGCCCUCUGGGUAGAGAGUGUAAUAAGAUGCAAUCAGUCACAGCCUUCUCCCCGGGGGCCCUCCAGCCCGGCGGGUGAGCUGGGGUUCUGGGGACAGGCUGGGGCAGUGUCCCUUAGCGCUCCAGAGCCCUUGAAGGAGCAGCGGACCUCUCCCCCAUCCCCACUUCUGCGUCCUCAUGACAGUGGCGGCCUCCAUGGGUUGUGGUCCUCGGCAGCUGGAACAUAAGGACACUGCCAUUAAGAUUAAUCAUCCAUGGGUAUAAAUCAGCAGAUGAUAAAUGCAGAGCAGGAGACAGCAAUAAAACACGAUCAAAUGGAGCUUCUGCAGCAGACACUGCUGGCUGCCCUACCAAUGACCAGCUCCCUCAUCCUUCUGUGUCAAAGAAGAGCCCACCUCUCCUGACAGCCAGAAAGUGCUGGAUCCUUGCUUUUGAGCUUUCCUGGCAGCGAGGGGUGUUCGUGGAAAUCAAUCUGGGCUAAUGACAUGUAAAGGAAAAAGGAGCUGAAAGGACAGAAUCCUAUCUCAGCUUCUUUCUAGCUCUGCAACCUUGGGCAAGUCCUUACCACCCUGGACCUCAAUGUGUUCAUCUGUAAUAUGAAGCGUAUCAUCAGGACUUACUCCAGCUCCUGGAGAGUUGAGUGAACUACUGCCGAUAAGGCGCCCAGCACAGUGCCUGGCGUGCGGGGAGAACCCAGUCCCCGCUGUGCUAUUAUCUCCGUUCCCCACCUGCGGGGGUAUGAGAGUGUCCAGUGGUUCUGAGUUGCUGGCAGACUGACUAGCUCUUGUUUUCCCUUACAUGUUAAAGUAAGAACCACCCACCUGGACCUCUUAGCAAAGGGAGAAACAGUGUGAAUCCUUCGAGAGGCUGGAGGGCAAUGAGAGAAGCUCAGCUUCCAAACCAUCACUUAAGAAGGCUGUUCUACUCUGAGUCCUGUCACUUUUCUCAUCUUAUUUCUGGGAGUUGCUAUAAAAGGACUCAACGCUAGAGCCAUUCUUGGGUCUCACCUGAGUCCCGCUCUCCUGUGAUGUUUCAUGCAUUUGUCCAGGCUGCUCCCAGGCCUGGGGCAUCACUCACCAUCACCUGGCGACUUCUGUCUCUUCACCUCCUAGGAGCCUCAUUUCUCACUCUGUAGACUCUCUGCUGGCCCCCAUUACAGAACCCUUCACGGGUUUGAUUUCUCCCCCUACUAAACUGUCUCUUCGGUCUCAACACAUACCUUGCCUGUAUCAAGUAGUAAAUAAAUCUUGGUUGAAUGACAACAUACCCAUAAGAUUAAACUCAGUGGUAAGUAGACACUAUUCUAUUCUAUGUGGUUGUAUGUUUGAUCUAGCAAAGUUAUUUCUAUUUUUUUCUGUGAGAUAAACCUGAUUAUUUAUUAUCUCCACCAGAAUUUUUUUUUCUGAGAACCUUCUGCUUUAUUGCUGUAAGGAGAAUAGACUACCACCAUUUUACUAGAGUGAAAUUGUGCAAAGAAACACAACAUAUGUUUAGCAAUUGAAAAGUAACAAUUAAU